CUUCUCAUCAACUAGCUUUCACAAUAAGGCAUCAUCCUGCAUUUUUGGGCCAUCAAGAAAAUCACUUACAAAAAUAGAUAUCCAUUCACAAAAAAGAGAAAAUCGAUAAAGACAAUUGCUUGAGUGGCACUUAAGGCGACAACUAGCUUUCACAUUUAAUGACUAGGGUCAUUAAGUUCAUCCAACGUUUUACUCUAUGGUCAUUGAGGCAUCUAUGAUUCACCCAUUCCAAAAU
rnacentral:lncRNA from 1 species